UACGGAGGGUGCAAACGUUGCUCGGAAUCAUUGGGCGUAAAGCGCACGUAGGCGGUUCGUUAAGUUGGAUGUGAAAGCCCUCGGCUUAACCGAGGAAGUGCAUCCAAAACUGGCGAGCUUGAGUAUGGAAGAGGGUCUCGGAAUUCCCGGUGUAGAGGUGAAAUUCGUAGAGAUCGGGAGGAACACCAGUGGCGAAGGCGACUUCCUGGCCUGUUCUUGACGCUGAGGCGCGAAAGCUAGGGGAGCAAACGGG
rnacentral:rRNA from 1 species